rnacentral:rRNA from 1 species
AGUGAACGCUGGCGGUAGGCCUAACACAUGCAAGUCGAACGGCAGCACAGUAAGAGCUUGCUCUUACGGGUGUCGAGUGUCGGACGGGUGAUGUAUACAUCGGAAUCUACUUUUUCGUUGGUGCUAACGUAGGGAAACUUACGCUAAUACCGCAUACGACCUACGUGUGAAAGCACGGGAUCUUCAGACCUUUCGCCAUUGUAUGAGCCGAUGUCGGAUUAGCUCGUUGGCGGGGUAAAGGCCCACCAAGGCGACGAUCCGUAGCUGGUCGGAGAGGAGGACAAGCGAAAAGGGGACUGAGACAAGGCGAAGACUGCUACGGGAGGAAGAAGUGGGGAAUCGAGCGAAAUGGGCGAAAGACUGAAGAAGCCAUGCCGCGUGAAGGAUGAAGGUCUUAGGAUAGGAAAAUUCUUUCACAGGGGACGAUAAUGACGGUACCCGGAGAAGAAGCCCCGGCUAGCUUCGGG